UACGUAGGGGCUAGCGUUGUCCGGAAUCAUUGGGCGUAAAGCGCGUGUAGGCGGCCCGGUAAGUCCGCUGUGAAAGUCGGGGGCUCAACCCUCGAAAGCCGGUGGAUACUGUCGGGCUCGAGUGCCGGAAGAGGCGAGUGGAAUUCCUGGUGGUAGCGGUGAAAUGCGCAGAUAUCAAGGAGGAACACCGAUUGCGAAGGCAGCUCGCUGGACGUU
rnacentral:rRNA from 1 species